UACGGGGGGGGGCAAGCGUUGUUCGGAAUUACUGGGCGUAAAGGGCCAGUAGGCGGCCAACUAAGUCGGAUGUGAAAUCCCCAGGCUCAACCUGGGAACUGCGUCUGAUACUGGAUGGCUUGAAUCCGGGAGAGGGAUGCAGAAUUCCAGGUGUAGCGGUGAAAUGCGUAGAUAUCUGGAGGAAUACCAGUGGCGAAGGCGACCACCUGGACUGAUACUGACACUGAGGUGCGAAAGCGUGGGGAGCAAACAGG
rnacentral:rRNA from 1 species